rnacentral:rRNA from 1 species
ACGGAGGAUGCGAGCGUUAUCCGGAUUUAUUGGGUUUAAAGGGAGCGCAGACGGGAUGUUAAGUCAGCUGUGAAAGUUUGCGGCUCAACCGUAAAAUUGCAGUUGAUACUGGCGUCCUUGAGUGCGGUUGAGGUGUGCGGAAUUCGUGGUGUAGCGGUGAAAUGCUUAGAUAUCACGAAGAACCCCGAUUGCGAAGGCAGCACACUAAGCCGUAACUGACGUUCAUGCUCGAAAGUGUGGGUAUCAAACAGG